CGGAGUGGGAACUUUUCGGAUUUGAAAUCAGCGUGUUCGAAAGUGUUCGUUCCCGUAAAAAUAUUUCAGAUCUAAGACAUGCUUAAUGAAAAUCUUUUUCUAGGCACUUUUCGAGGUCACAACAUACGGACUAUAAGCUCCGCUGGUAGAGAUAAUCAUUCCAAUAUAAUUAGUAUACGAACAACUAAAUGGCCACAACUUUCAAUAAAACUGAUUUCAACGCAACUGUUAAUUUCUGUAUGCUGAUAUCAUUUUAGUCAAUUUGGUCGAUUCUGAUUGGUUAAAAACAGUGCCGAUUAAACAUUCAUUGGCACAAUGUGCCGAUCUAAGAUUAUAAUCGGCUCGAAUGCGAGCCCGCCUGCAUUACACACAAAAUGUCAAAAUCUAAGUAAACAAG